rnacentral:rRNA from 1 species
UACGAAGGGGGCUAGCGUUGCUCGGAAUCACUGGGCGUAAAGCGCACGUAGGCGGAUCUUUAAGUCAGGGGUGAAAUCCUGGAGCUCAACUCCAGAACUGCCUUUGAUACUGGGGAUCUCGAGUCCGGAAGAGGUGAGUGGAACUCCGAGUGUAGAGGUGAAAUUCGUAGAUAUUCGGAAGAACACCAGUGGCGAAGGCGACACACUGGCCCGUAACUGACGCUGACGGCGCGAAAGCGU